CGACGUUGAUAGGCUGCAGGUGUAUGUAUAGAAAUAUAUUCAGCCGAGCAGUACUAAUUACCCAACAGCUUGCACAU
rnacentral:rRNA from 1 species